rnacentral:tRNA from 1 species
GGCGUGGCUCAACGGUAGAGCAGCUGAUUUGUAAUCAGCAGGUUGGGGGUUCGACUCCCUCCGCC